GUCCUAGCCCUAAACGAUGCUCAUUAGGUGUGGGAGGUAUCGACCCCUUCCGCGCCGUAGCUAACGCAUUAAAUGAGCCGCCUGGGGAGUACGGCCGCAAGGUUGAAACUCAAAGGAAUUGACGGGGCCCGCACAAGCGGUGGAGCAUGUGGUUUAAUUCGACGCAACGCGAAGAACCUUACCUGGGCUUGAACUACUGGUAGUAAGUCUUUGGAAACAUGGACUGAUCCGCAAGGAAGCCAGCAGAGGUGCUGCAUGGUUGUCGU
rnacentral:rRNA from 1 species